rnacentral:rRNA from 1 species
AGAGUUUGAUCCUGGCUCAGGAUGAACGCUAGCGGCAGGCCUAACACAUGCAAGUCGAGGGGCAGCACAAAAGGUAGCUUGCUAUCUUUGGUGGCGACCGGCGCACGGGUGCGUAACGCGUAUGCAACCUACCCAUAACAGGGGGAUAACACUGAGAAAUUGGUACUAAUACCCCAUAACAUCAGAUGUGGCAUCACAUUUGGUUGAAAACUCCGGUGGUUAUGGAUGGGCAUGCGUUGUAUUAGCUAGUUGGUGAGGUAACGGCCCACCAAGGCGACGAUGCGUAGGGGUUCUGAGAGGAAGGUCCCCCACACUGGUACUGAGACACGGACCAGACUCCUACGGGAGGCAGCAGUGAGGAAUAUUGGUCAAUGGGCGAGAGCCUGAACCAGCCAAGUCGCGUGAGGGAAGACGGUUCUAUGGAUUGUAAACCUCUUUUGUCAGGGAGCACUAAGCCACGCGUGGUGUAAAGAGAGUACCUGAAGAAAAAGCAUCGGCUAAUUCCGUGCCAGCAGCCGCGGUAAUACGGAGGAUGCGAGCGUUAUCCGGAUUUAUUGGGUUUAAAGGGUGCGUAGGCGGACUAUUAAGUCAGCGGUUAAACUGCGGAGCUCAACUCCGUAUCGCCGUUGAAACUGGUAAUCUAGAGUGGGUGAGAAGUAUGCGGAAUGCGUGGUGUAGCGGUGAAAUGCAUAGAUAUCACGCAGAACUCCGAUUGCGAAGGCAGCAUACCGGCACCCAACUGACGCUGAAGCACGAAAGCGUGGGUAUCGAACAGGAUUAGAUACCCUGGUAGUCCACGCAGUAAACGAUGAAUACUAAUUGUUUGGCAAAAAUGAUUGCUGAGUGAUACAGCGAAAGCGUUAAGUAUUCCACCUGGGGAGUACGCCGGCAACGGUGAAACUCAAAGGAAUUGACGGGGGCCCGCACAAGCGGAGGAACAUGUGGUUUAAUUCGAUGAUACGCGAGGAACCUUACCCGGGCUCAAACGACAGGGGAAUAUAUCCGAAAGGCUAUAGCUAGUAAUAGUCGCUGUCGAGGUGCUGCAUGGUUGUCGUCAGCUCGUGCCGUGAGGUGUCGGCUUAAGUGCCAUAACGAGCGCAACCCCUAUUGAUAGUUGCUAACAGGUCAAGCUGAGGACUCUAUCGAGACUGCCGGCGCAAGCUGAGAGGAAGGCGGGGAUGACGUCAAAUCAGCACGGCCCUUACGUCCGGGGCGACACACGUGUUACAAUGGCAGGUACAGCGGGAAGCCAGGUGGUGACAUCGAGCAGAACCCGAAAACCUGUCUCAGUUCGGAUUGGAGUCUGCAACUCGACUCCAUGAAGCUGGAUUCGCUAGUAAUCGCGCAUCAGCCAUGGCGCGGUGAAUACGUUCCCGGGCCUUGUACUCACCGCCCGUCA